rnacentral:tRNA from 1 species
GUCCCGUUGGUGAAACGGAUAAUCACUAUGGCCUACGAAGCCGUCGUUCCAGGUUCGAAUCCUGGGCGGGACACCA